UUUCCGUAGGUAAGUGAUAUCGACCCGUCCCCCGUGGGAGGGACUCAGCUAACAUGCAUAGGUGAACCUGCGGAAGGAUCAUUACCGUGACGCGGCCCGGGUCCGCCCGGGCUCGCCCACCCCCUGCGUACGCACUCGAUUGCUUCGGCGGGCCGCCGGCGUCGUCGGACGCCCGCCGAAAGACAUGGAGACUCUGCUCGUGUGGUGACGUCGGAGCGAAAAGCAAAUCAGCA
rnacentral:misc_RNA from 1 species